GAUGGCGAAUUUCACUUCUCGAUCUACAGGUAAUCCUGGCAAGUCAUUAGGGAAGACAUCUAGGAAUUCCUUGACUACUGGAAUUCCUUGGAUAUCAGUUCCCUUACUUGUUUUGCAUAAUACAUAUUAAGAUUGUUAAAUCACAUCACAUAAAUAAAAAUCAAUAGAUUAUUUUCUUUGUACACAAAUAAUUAAGAAAGAAGAAAAGGAAAAGUCAUUAGCACAAAAAUGGUACUUGAU
rnacentral:lncRNA from 1 species